AGAGUUUGAUCCUGGCUCAGAACUAACGCUGGCGGCGUGCCUAACACAUGCAAGUCGAACGAGAAAGUUGGCUUCGGCCGAUGAGUAAAGUGGCGCACGGGUGAGUAACGCGUGGAUAAUCUGCCCUUUAGUUUGGAAUAACGUACCGAAAGGUGCGCUAAUACCGGAUAAUACUGAAUGACUACUGUCGUUUAGUCAAAGAAGGCCUCUGUUUACAUGCUUUUGCUGAAGGAUGAGUCCGCGUACCAUUAGCUAGUUGGUAGGGUAAUGGCCUACCAAGGCGACGAUGGUUAGCUGGUCUGAGAGGAUGAUCAGCCACACUGGAACUGAGACACGGUCCAGACUCCUACGGGAGGCAGCAGUGAGGAAUAUUGCGCAAUGGGGGCAACCCUGACGCAGCAACGCCGCGUGAGUGAGGAAGGUUUUCGGACCGUAAAGCUCUGUCGAGCGGGAAGAAAUGCAUGGUGGCUAAUAUCCAUCAUGCUUGACGGUACCGCUAAAGGAAGCACCGGCUAACUCCGUGCCAGCAGCCGCGGUAAUACGGGGGGUGCGAGCGUUGUUCGGAAUUAUUGGGCGUAAAGAGCGUGUAGGCGGCCGAAUAAGUCAGAUGUGAAAUCCCUGGGCUUAACCCAGGACGUGCAUUUGAAACUAUUCGGCUUGAGUAGGGGAGAGGAAAGUGGAAUUCCUGGUGUAGAGGUGAAAUUCGUAGAUAUCAGGAGGAACACCGGUGGCGAAGGCGACUUUCUGGCCCUAUACUGACGCUGAGACGCGAGAGCGUGGGUAGCAAACAGGAUUAGAUACCCUGGUAGUCCACGCUGUAAACGAUGUUCACUAGGUGUUGGGGGUAUUGACCCUCUCAGUGCCGCAGCUAACGCAUUAAGUGAACCGCCUGGGGAGUACGGUCGCAAGAUUAAAACUCAAAGGAAUUGACGG
rnacentral:rRNA from 1 species